ACACGUAGGGGGCGAGCGUUGUCCGGAAUUACUGGGCGUAAAGGGCGUGUAGGCGGCCAUGUAUGUCAGGUGUGAAAGGCCUCGGCUUAACCGAGGCAUUGCACAUGAAACUGUGUGGCUUGAGUGCAGGAGAGGGAAGUGGAAUUCCUAGUGUAGCGGUGAAAUGCGUAGAUAUUAGGAGGAACACCAGUGGCGAAGGCGACUUCCUGGACUGUAACUGACGCUGAGGCGCGAAAGCGUGGGUAGCAAACAGGAUUAGAUACCCUGGUAGUCCACGCUGUAAACGAUGGGUACUAGGUGUGGGUAGUUCACUCUAUCCGUGCCGCAGCAAACGCAAUAAGUACCCCGCCUGGGGAGUACGGCCGCAAGGUUGAA
rnacentral:rRNA from 1 species